AUUCAAUUACCCAACAACUAAUUAAUUCAAGUCAGUCAACAAUCGAUAUUCGAGUGAACUAAUACGGCCCUAGAAUUGCCAUCAACCAAGAUAUUGGGCCUAAUAUUAACCCUGAUAGGCAGAGGGCAGACCAAUAACACUUGGCCCAGGUCGAAAUCAACAAAAGUCACGAUGGGACAUGGGCCUUCAAUUCAUAUGCCAAUGCCCAAAGGCACCUGGGAAAUCUGAUAACCAAAACAGGUAAGAUGCAAUUGGAACUUGAUUCACAAAUACAAACGGGGCAAUUGUUUUCUAAUCAAACCACACAAAUCCUUGCCAUUAUAAACAUGAUGCGCUGAUAAAAACAAACCAUCCUCCUUUAUCACUAAAAUCCUAACGCCAUUAGAUCAAUACAAUUACAUAAAUGGCUAUACCACUACCAACCAAGCCAUAUAACUUCAAAUGUUAAACCAACAGGAUUGAACAAUACCACAAAGUUUAGAAGACCACUUAAACAACACCACAGUUUAUGAAUUUAGUCCCAUGUCUCAAUUUUAGUCUAUAUAAUUACAACAGCUAGCAAACUAAACAAACUAAACUACAUUAAAUGUAAUAUCAUGAAAUCAUCUGGAAUAGAGUUGAGGGCAAUUUCCAUUUCACUUCAGUUGAGGAGCUACAUUAAACAAUCAGAGAAGUGUACAUGGGUGCAGAAAUUCAACAAGAAGAAGAAGUCAGCAACAAAGAGAGUAGCAACCAAAUAACAGCUCAGAAUUGUUUAUGACGAUCCAGGAGGAUUUUAGAAAUCAGACAAAAUCAGAAAAUCAAUCAACAUCCCCUGAAUGCAUCAACUAAAUUCCCAAAUGACCCAGGGCCUUUUCAGUAGCCUCAAAGAAACCAAGUUCAAUUCAAACACACUGAUUCCAACUUCAUAUCAACCCAGAAAUGUUUCAAAAUGGAGCAAUAGCAAUAGACCACUUCAGUACACAAUUGAAAAAUCCCAAUGACCCAUGAAUGAAACCAAUAUCAGACCAAGACUAUUCGAAACCACCCAGACCAACUCAAAACUGGACUGGAACCAUUUUUUGAAAUUGCCAAAAGGUAGACACAGCCUAAAAUAGUCUUGCUUGAACCCCAAAAUCCCUUGGAAUCAAUCAACAACACCCCAAAACUUUGAAUGAUCAGAAUCCAAACGAAAAAUAUAGAGCAAUAACUAGAAGAUAAAAUUCAGACAGAAUUCCAAUCAAACAAUAACUUUCUUUGGUUUUCGACAGUUUUAUAUUGUUUUUUAUUUUUCUUUUGAAGAAUGCUAAGAUCUAAGGGAAUUUCAGAAUUUCAGAUUUGGAAGUUUGGAGAAUAUUUUUUGGGGAGGAAUUUUGGACUGCCAAACUUGUGAAGUAAGGCAAUGAUGAUGCCUAUUUAUAAGACAAAAGAAAUGCACAUCAGAUUUUCAUCUUUAGCAAACCGUCUCCCCCCCUAUUUUUAUCUAAACCCCUUAUUUAUUAACUUCCUACCCAAGUAAGUAUUACUAAAGAGCUAAAAGCUACAUUUUUAUCCCACUCUAGAAGAAUCUAGGGUGCUCUUUUGGCUAAACAAUUCCCAAACUAACCCUUCCUUGUCUUGAAUUAACUAUUUCUAAAGCUGCUGCCAUUUUCCAUACCUAAAUUGCCCUUCCAACAACCUAAAAAUUACAACAUAGCCUAAGAACCCAAAACCUUACCCUAGUUAUGACUUUUACCCAAAUUAAAUCACACAAAACUGCUUAGCAAUAUCCAAACUCUCUAUUGACUAAGAUAAAACACCAUUGCAAAUCAAAAGCAAUUAAACCUAUAAUAAUGAACACUGAACUGAACCAAAUAUCAAAGCAUAUUCGAAGUAAAACCACAAGGAAAAGAUAAAGCGGUUGCGAGCGGAACGAAAACCAAUAUUAAAAUAAAAAUGAAAUUAACACAAAACUAAACGUAAGUCAAAUAAAGAAGAAAACUCACGGAUUUUGCUCUAAACUCGAUUGGCCCUCAAAUUUGGCUUCGAGUUAAUGUUAUAUAUAUAUAUAUAUAUAUAUAUAUAUAUAUAUAAACUCUCUAUUGACUAAGAUAAAACACCAUUGCAAAUCAAAAGCAAUUAAACCUAUAAUAAUGAACACUGAACUGAACCAAAUAUCAAAGCAUAUUCGAAGUAAAACCACAAGGAAAAGAUAAAGCGGUUGCGAGCGGAACGAAAACCAAUAUUAAAAUAAAAAUGAAAUUAACACAAAACUAAACGUAAGUCAAAUAAAGAAGAAAACUCACGGAUUUUGCUCUAAACUCGAUUGGCCCUCAAAUUUGGCUUCGAGUUAAUGUUAUAUAUUUAUUCCAUGUGAAAUAAACAUAUAACAUUAAUUUAAAACCAAAUGAACCUUUGGAUUCUUCAAAACAGCCUCAAAGCAGACCCAACUUCAUGAACCUUAGAUUUGAAAUUCGCUCAGUUCCACUUGGAUUCGAGGGAUUUUGGUUAUGGAUUAAGGGAGAGGGAGGUCAGGGGAAAGUAUGGUAUGAAUUUGAAUGAGUUUGAAUGAUUUAAAGGUUUUGGCGGACUUUCAGAUUUAAAAUUUGAAGGGAUUGACUGGGUUUUGUGAGAAUUUAAGCUUGGAAAUGGAAAGAGGAUGAGAAGAGGGUCAUGGGUGAUAAUUUGGAGUCGUUUGGAUCUCUGCCGCCGUCGUCGAAGAUUUCCGACCGGUGGCGUUAGGGUGGCGGGUGGUGGAGCCAGCGGAGACAUCGUACGAGGAAGGCAACCUGGUCUUUUGAUUUAAUUAAAGAAUCUAUCCUUUAUAUAAUUAGUCAGCAAAAAUUAAGGGUCGUUGGAUGAGG
rnacentral:lncRNA from 1 species